GACGAACGCUGGCGGCGUGCCUAAUACAUGCAAGUAGAACGCACAGUUUAUACCGUAGCUUGCUACACCAUAGACUGUGAGUUGCGAACGGGUGAGUAACGCGUAGGUAACCUGCCUGGUAGCGGGGGAUAACUAUUGGAAACGAUAGCUAAUACCGCAUAAUAUUAAUUAUUGCGUGAUAAUUGAUUGAAAGAUGCAACUGCAUCACUACCAGAUGGACCUGCGUUGUAUUAGCUAGUAGGUGAGGUAACGGCUCACCUAGGCGACGAUACAUAGCCGACCUGAGAGGGUGAUCGGCCACACUGGGACUGAGACACGGCCCAGACUCCUACGGGAGGCAGCAGUAGGGAAUCUUCGGCAAUGGACGAAAGUCUGACCGAGCAACGCCGCGUGAGUGAAGAAGGUUUUCGGAUCGUAAAGCUCUGUUGUAAGAGAAGAACGGGUGUGAGAGUGGAAAGUUCACACUGUGACGGUACCUUACCAGAAAGGGACGGCUAACUACGUG
rnacentral:rRNA from 1 species